AUUGAACGCUGGCGGCAGGCCUAACACAUGCAAGUCGAGCGAGCGGCGGACGGGUAAGUAAUGUCUGGGAAACUGCCUGAUGGAGGGGGAUAACUACUGGAAACGGUAGCUAAUACCGCAUACCAUCAGAUGUGCCCAGAUGGGAUUAGCGAGUAGGUGGGGUAACGGCUUACCUAGGCGACGAACCCUAGCUGGUCUGAGAGGAUUACCAGACACCCUGGAACUGAGACACGGUGCAGACUCCUACGGGAGGCAGCAGUGGGGAAUAUGGCACAAUGGGCGCCAUCCUGAUGCAGCCAUGCCGCGUGUGUGAAGACGGCCUUCGGGUUGUAAAGCACUUUCAGCGGGGAGGCGUUACCCGCAGAAGAAGCACCGGCUAACUCCGUGCCAGCAGCCGCGGUAAUUC
rnacentral:rRNA from 1 species